UGGCGGCGUGCCUAAUACAUGCAAGUCGAGCGAACGGACGAGAAGCUUGCUUCUCUGAUGUUAGCGGCGGACGGGUGAGUAACACGUGGAUAACCUACCUAUAAGACUGGGAUAACUUCGGGAAACCGGAGCUAAUACCGGAUAAUAUUUAGAACCGCAUGGUUCAAAAGUGAAAGACGGUCUUGCUGUCACUUAUAGAUGGAUCCGCGCUGCAUUAGCUAGUUGGUAAGGUAACGGCUUACCAAGGCAACGAUGCAUAGCCGACCUGAGAGGGUGAUCGGCCACACUGGAGCUGAGACACGGUCCAGACUCCUACGGGAGGCAGCAGUAGGGAAUCUUCCGCAAUGGGCGAAAGCCUGACGGAGCAACGCCGCGUGAGUGAUGAAGGUCUUCGGAUCGUAAAACUCUGUUAUUAGGGAAGAACAUAUGUGUAAGUAACUGUGCACAUCUUGACGGUACCUAAUCAGAAAGCCACGGCUAACUACGUGCCAGCAGCCGCGGUAAUACGUAGGUGGCAAGCGUUAUCCGGAAUUAUUGGGCGUAAAGCGCGCGUAGGCGGUUUUUUAAGUCUGAUGUGAAAGCCCACGGCUCAACCGUGGAGGGUCAUUGGAAACUGGAAAACUUGAGUGCAGAAGAGGAAAGUGGAAUUCCAUGUGUAGCGGUGAAAUGCGCAGAGAUAUGGAGGAACACCAGUGGCGAAGGCGACUUUCUGGUCUGUAACUGACGCUGAUGUGCGAAAGCGUGGGGAUCAAACAGGAUUAGAUACCCUGGUAGUCCACGCCGUAAACGAUGAGUGCUAAGUGUUAGGGGGUUUCCGCCCCUUAGUGCUGCAGCUAACGCAUUAAGCACUCCGCCUGGGGAGUACGACCGCAAGGUUGAAACUCAAAGGAAUUGACGGGGACCCGCACAAGCGGUGGAGCAUGUGGUUUAAUUCGAAGCAACGCGAAGAACCUUACCAAA
rnacentral:rRNA from 1 species